GACGAACGCUGGCGGCGUGCUUAACACAUGCAAGUCGAGCGGUAAGGCCCUUUCGGGGGUACACGAGCGGCGAACGGGUGAGUAACACGUGGGUGACCUGCCCUUAGCUCUGGGAUAAGCCUGGGAAACUGGGUCUAAUACCGGAUAUGACUCCAUAACGCAUGUUGUGGGGUGGAAAGCCUUGUGCGGCUAGGGAUGGGCCCGCGGCCUAUCAGCUUGUUGGUGGGGUGAUGGCCUACCAAGGCGACGACGGGUAGCCGGCCUGAGAGGGCGACCGGCCACACUGGGACUGAGACACGGCCCAGACUCCUACGGGAGGGCAGCAGUGGGGAAUCUUGCGCAAUGGGCGAAAGCCUGACGCAGCGACGCCGCGUGGGGA
rnacentral:rRNA from 1 species